CUACGGGUUGCUCCAGUGGGGAAUAUUGCACGAUGGAGGAAACUCUGAUGCAGCAACGCCGCGUGGAGGAUGACACUUUUCGGAGCGUAAACUCCUUUUAUAUAGGAAGAAGAUGACGGUACUAUAUGAAUAAGCGCCGGCUAACUCCGUGCCAGCAGCCGCGGUAAUACGGAGGGCGCAAGCGUUACUCGGAAUCACUGGGCGUAAAGAGCGUGUAGGCGGAUUAAAAAGUCAGAAGUGAAAUCCUAUAGCUUAACUAUAGAACUGCUUCUGAAACUCUUAAUCUAGAAUAUGGGAGAGGUAGAUGGAAUUUCUGGUGUAGGGGUAAAAUCCGUAGAGAUCAGAAGGAAUACCGAUUGCGAAGGCGAUCUACUAGAACAUUAUUGACGCUGAGACGCGGAAGCGUGGGGAGCAAACAGGAUUAGAUACCCCGGUAGUC
rnacentral:rRNA from 1 species